rnacentral:tRNA from 1 species
GGUCCCAUCGUCUAGUGGUUAGGACAUCAGGUUUUCAUCCUGAAAACAGGGGUUCAAUUCCCCUUGGGACUA